CCUACGGGUGGCAGCAGUGAGGAAUAUUGGUCAAUGGCCGGAAGGCUGAACCAGCCAAGUCGCGUGAGGGACGACUGCCCUAUGGGUUGUAAACCUCUUUUAUAAGGGAAGAAUAAAUGCUACGUGUAGCAUGAUGCCUGUACCUUAUGAAUAAGCAUCGGCUAACUUCGUGCCAGCCGCCGCGGUAAUACGGGGGAGGCGAUCGUUAUCCGGAUUUAUUUGUGUUAACGGGUGCGUAGGCGGUUUUUUAAGUUAGUGGUUAAACGUAGGGGCUUAACCUUGAUUUGCAAUUAAUACUGUAAGACUCGAGUUCAGAAGAGGUAGGCGGAAUAAGUGAAGUAGCGGUGAAAUGCGUAGAGA
rnacentral:rRNA from 1 species